GUCCCUUUAGCUCAGUGGUUAGAGCGUCCUGCUCAUAACAGGAGGGUCACUGGUUCAAGUCCAGUAAGGGGCA
rnacentral:tRNA from 2 species